GCGAUUUAUUUUUCAAAGUUGUUGUUGAAUUCAGGAGCCCGCCUGAAGAGAGGAAAGGCGAUUUUAUUUUCAAAAAAAUGUUGAUGAAGUCAGGAGUCCACCUGAAUAGAGGAAAGGCGAUUUUAUUUUCAAAGAUGUUAUUAAAGUUAGGAGCCCGCCUGAAGAGAGGAAUAACAUUUUUAUUUUUUUGAAGUUGUUGUUGAGGUUAGGAUACCGCCUGUAGAACAGAGGAAUACAUUCGAGUUCAAGUCGGUAGGCAGUAAUGAGAUGGUUACACCAGAAAACCCCCAGGGUAAAUCCAAAUUCAGAAAUCAGAAGGAAGGAAACAAUUCCCAUAAGAAGGCAGCUCAAGCUUUGAAAGGAAAGUAAUCCGAAGCUCACAAGAAGGAAAUAAACAGUUCAAGUUCGACAAUCAAGAGAAGCCGAUAAGGCAAGUCAGAAAUGAAGAAUCAUCAUAGGAAACACAAAAGCAAACAAGGCAAGAAGAGCAAGUUGGAGAUAAGAUUUUGUAGUCCAUAAACUAGUAUAGUCUAGCAUCUUAUUUUCUUUUAGCACAGUGUAAUAAGAAGAUCGGUAAAACAGUAGUGACAACAUGCACCAGCAGUAAUAGAAAAUUGCAGUCCCAUGGUAGUCCCAGCUACCAAAACUUCCCGAACUACAUUAACCUGAUUCCGUUUUAGUCAGGGAUAUGUAGGAGACCUUUGAAG
rnacentral:lncRNA from 1 species